UUUUGUUCUUUUAAAUCAUGUUUAUAGUCCAUUUCACAAACAAAUGACUUUUGUUUUUUAGUGCAUCACAAAACAUAUAAUGUGAUGAAUGUAGCUUGUUUCCCCAAACAAGUGGUUCUUAUGAGCAUGUCGAAUUCCUCUCAUAUAACACAUUUCACAUGUUCAUUCAGUAUUUAACCCUGUACAGUGGAAUGGUGCAGGUCAGACCCCGAGGCUACCUACCUACCUAGGGGUGUAAAUAUUUGCUUGUACAUUUUUUUUUUUUAAAUUACAGUUUUGUUAUUUCAUCACAAUGCAGUUGGUCUACAAUACUUUUGUCAUUACAAUGGUGUGUUUUCAGCAUUUUUUGUUUUUUUGAAUAUCACUGAGCAACAGCUAUGCUAUGUUGUAAAUCUUAAAUUGCACUGAGCACUUUUCUCGUCUUGCAUCAUUUUCAUCUUACCCCCAGUGCACCAGUGGGAACUCUAACAGUAAGCUGAGUUUGGAGAGAGAUAAUGCCUUUUUGAUGGACAACGGAAAACAAACACUCUUGUCUCUCUUCUCUCUGCCUACAGGCCUUCUUGCACUCACACUUUUUCUCCCCCUCUAUCUCCCUCUCUCUGGAGAGGCAUAGAUAGCCUUAUUAGGUGAUAGCAAAGGGCUAGUUGUAAAAAUAUCCCAUCUUGUGCUUUCCUGCUCUAGAUUUGGCUUUCAACAUGAUGCAAAUUGAAGCAUUUUGCACUGAAAGUAAUGAGAACUUGAGAUGUUGUGCAGCUAUAACACAGUCCAUAUGUUAAGUUUUAAGAAACAUAGGGACAAUUAGUUAAAUGUGUUCAUUGAAUGUUGCAUCAUGCAAAAGAAUUGCAAAUGGAAUGAUGUUUGGCUAAAUCCAGGAAGGCUCCUCAUAAGCUAAUUUUAUGAGCUCCGUUCUUCUUUUCUCUUUUAAGGCUGUGGUGACCAGUGUCUUGAUCGAAGUCUCAUGGAGUUCUAAUUGAUUGUGGUUACUGGCCUAUUUAUAUCAUUUUGAAAGUGGGAGAGACUCCUUCCACCUCUGGAAUGUGAGCGUUUGAGCCAGAGUUUCUGCUUAUGCAAGAACAGCGUUCUCUCUCCCUCUUUUACGUCCGCCUAAGGGGAGAGCCAAGCACCCCUAAUCCAACAGCAGCAGGGGAAGAUAAAAGUGAAAAACGCAGGCAGGCAGGGUGUGGUGAACACCUGAAUGUAGCUAUGGAGAUGAGGAAAUAAAACUUAAAAUUUUAAAAGACAAACAGACUAUUUGUUGACUUAUGAAACCACAAAGACUUCACCCGAACAUCUUUUUCAGUUUUUGUCAGGCUUGUUUAGUAGUGGACAAUUGUAUAUGAAACACUUGGCAGAAGUGACUGAAAAAGUUUUUUGGCUCCCCUGAAGAAGUUAUGUUUGUUUAAUCAGCUUAGGGAUUGCUCAGAUCCUAUCAUUCCUUAGAAACAAACCCAGGCAACCCCAUGGGAGAGCAGAAGUGGGGGGGGUUAAUGAAGGAACAUUAAAGUAAACAAGACAAGGAUCGUCCAAGAAUGUUUGUGUGGGUCUGUCAGGCAUGUUUGUUGGAAAUGUUAAAGCUCUAGGAACAUUUUGCCCCUGUAUCCACCACAGUCCCACCCAUCCUAACUAUGAUGCAGGACAGAUCAGGAGACCACAAGAACCCCAUGGCUGGAUUAACAAACAUUCCCUUAGACGCUGACCAGACAUGCCUCGACUGCUGUGCAAAUGCUUAGAAAAUGAAACACUGCGAACCAAAUCCCUUUCUGCAAGUAAUGAGCCCAAAAUCAUUAGGACAAAAAGGAAAAUCUCAACUAUCGUACCCUCGAAAAAGAGGAUUUCCCUGCAAAUAAAAAAGAACAGCAGAACUCGUUUGGACUACAGUGCAUAUUUCCUGGAAUUUGUAAUAUCACAAAUACCUAUAAAUGGGACAAGACCUGGUUGAGCUGCACUAGAGAAGUUUUUCUUUCUUGAAGUCCAGACCCACCCCUUUCUCAUCUCAUAGCAGACCUCCCUGCUGUCUCUGCCUGUUGAGCGUCUGCUGUACUUGUUAUUGAGAUUCCCUGCUGACAGCCCGACUCUGGAAAACCUAUGAAGAGGGAGGGAUCCUGUUGUACCUGGCACUGCCUUGAGGAAGGUGGGAAUAAGUACUUACAACAAGCCAUGGAAGUAAUUGAUUGCCUUACAACUGCAAACUCGCCUCAAACACGCAUCGUUCCACAGCCACACACAGCCCUGUGUAGAUUAUUCAUAACUGUGAGAGAAAAGCGCCUGUGGUAUCCAGGCUUAUUUAUAAGGCUUCACACUCCUUCACAGAUACAAAGUUGCUCAUUAUUUGAAGCUCUUGGCAGUCUUUCUUUUGUGUUUUCAUGAGAAUAUAGAAGCCUGAAAAAGUAUUUUACUAAAGCCACACACUAUUUAGAUUUCAAAGGGUUAGUUCACCCAAAAAUUAAAAUUAGCCCAUAAAUUACUCACCCUCAAGUCAUCCUUGUAUAUGACUUUCUUCUUUCAGAUGAAUCCAGUUGGAGUUAUAUUAAAAAUUGUCUUUGAUCUUUCAAGCUCUUUAAUGCCACUCAGUGGGUGUUGCAUGCAUCGGUCCAAAAGAAGUUAAAUAAAAAGCACCCAUCAAUAAAAAAAAAGUGCUCUGGACACGACACAU